GAAUCCUGCAGAGAUGCGGAGUGACCGAAGGGAAUUGGAACACAGGUGCUGCAUGGCUGUCGUCAGCUCGUGUCGUGAGAUGUUGGGUUAAGUCCCGCAACGAGCGCAACCCUUAUCAUUAGUUGCUACGCAAGGGCACUCUAAUGAGACUGCCGGUGACAAACCGGAGGAAGGUGGGGAUGACGUCAAGUCCUCAUGGCCCUUAUGGGUAGGGCUUCACACGUCAUACAAUGGUCGGUACAGAGGGUUGCCAAGCCGCGAGGUGGAGCCAAUCCCAGAAAGCCGAUCGUAGUCCGGAUUGUUCUCUGCAACUCGAGAGCAUGAAGUCGGAAUCGCUAGUAAUCGCGGAUCAGCAUGUCGCGGUGAAUACGUUCCCGGGUCUU
rnacentral:rRNA from 1 species